rnacentral:rRNA from 1 species
AUUGAACGCUGGCGGCAGGCCUAACACAUGCAAGUCGAGCGGAUGAAGGGAGCUUGCUCCUGGAUUCAGCGGCGGACGGGUGAGUAAUGCCUAGGAAUCUGCCUGGUAGUGGGGGAUAACGUCCGGAAACGGGCGCUAAUACCGCAUACGUCCUGAGGGAGAAAGUGGGGGAUCUUCAGACCUCACGCUAUCAGAUGAGCCUAGGUCGGAUUAGCUAGUUGGUGGGGUAAAGGCCUACCAAGGCGACGAUCCGUAACUGGUCUGAGAGGAUGAUCAGUCACACUGGAACGGCAGCAAGGUCCGUACUACUACAGGAGGCAGCAGCGUGGAAUUUUGGACACUGGUCGGAAGCAUUAUGCAGCAAUCGCACGUGUGUGAAGAUAGUCUUCGGGUCGUGAUGAACUUUAAGGUGGCGGGAAGCGCAGUAUGUUAAUACCUUGCUGUUUUGACGUUAACACCAGAAUAAGCACCGGCUAACUUCGUG